UGAGCUCAGAUACUGUUCUUGAUCUAAGAGUAAAUAUAGCCGAGCUUGUGCAAGAUACUUCACAACUUUAUGCUGUAAAGUGUGUUUGCUUUAAAAUAGGUCUAAGUCCUUCAUUCAAUACACAUACUGUUCUCUGCUUUCAACACUUCUUUAUGCAGAUCAAAUUAGGUCAAGUACUUCCUUCCUUUCUUCACAUGCAAGACCAUCGUUUUACAGACAAACUUUUCUGUCAC
rnacentral:lncRNA from 1 species